rnacentral:rRNA from 1 species
AACGUAGGAGGCGAGCGUUAUCCGGAUUUACUGGGCGUAAAGCGCACGCAGGUGGCCGGGUAAGUUGGCCGUGAAAGCUCCUGGCUUAACUGGGAGAGGUCGGUCAAGACUGCCGGGCUUGAGGUUGGGAGAGGGUGUGGAAUUCCCGGUGUAGUGGUGGAAUGCGUAGAUAUCGGGAGGAACACCAGUGGCGAAGGCGGCACCCUGGCCCACACCUGACGCUGAGGUGCGAAAGCGUGGGGAGCAAACAGG